rnacentral:rRNA from 1 species
GAUGAACGCUGGCGGCGUGCCUAAUACAUGCAAGUCGAGCGAACGGACGAGAAGCUUGCUUCUCUGAUGUUAGCGGCGGACGGGUGAGUAACACGUGGAUAACCUACCUAUAAGACUGGGAUAACUUCGGGAAACCGGAGCUAAUACCGGAUAAUAUUUUGAACCGCAUGGUUCAAAAGUGAAAGACGGUCUUGCUGUCACUUAUAGAUGGAUCCGCGCUGCAUUAGCUAGUUGGUAAGGUAACGGCUUACCAAGGCAACGAGGCAUAGCCGACCUGAGAGGGUGAUCGGCCACACUGGAACUGAGACACGGUCCAGACUCCUACGGGAGGCAGCAGUAGGGAAUCUGCCGCAAUGGGCGAAAGCCUGACGGAGCAACGCCGCGCGAGUGAUGAAGGUCUUCGGAUCGUAAAACUCUGUUAUGAGGGAAGAACAUAUGUGUAAGUAACUGUGCACAUCUUGACGGUACCUAAUCAGAAAGCCACGGCUAACUACGUG